GACGAACGCUGGCGGCGUGCCUAAUACAUGCAAGUAGGACGCAGUUGCGAACGGGUGAGUAACGCGUAGGUAACUACCUAUUAGAGGGGGAUAACUAUUGGAAACGAUAGCUAAUACCGCAUACUAGUAGAUGGACCUUCGUUGUAUUAGCUAGUAGGUAGGGUAAUGGCCUACCUAGGCAACGAUACAUAGCCGAACUGGGAGGGUGAGCGGGCAAACUGGGACUGAGACACGGGCCAGACUCCUACGGGAGGCAGCAGUAGGGAAUCUGCGGCAAUGGGGGGAAUGCUGACCGAGGAACGCCGCGGGAGUGAAGAAGGGUUUCGGAGCGUAAAGCUCUGUUGUGAAGGAAGCGGUACUUAACCAGAAAGGGACGGCUAACUACGUGCCAGCAGCCGCGGUAAUAC
rnacentral:rRNA from 1 species